UCACAGAUCGCUCUCUAGAAAUCCUGUUAAGCCUUGAUUCACCAGUCCAUGAGUUUUGAUUGUUUCUAGAGGGUUUGGAGGCUAACAGACUGGUUAUUUUAUUUGCAUAGUUCAAGAAACACUGAAAUUGGCCUGAGUGAUUAUAAUUUUGUCCUCUGCCUGCUGAAUCACAUUUUUCAGAGAAGUUACAUUGGUACUCCCAAGGAACAGCAUUCUUUCCCAGGUGUUUGUGGGCCUGCACUAAAUUCAGUAAGUGCCCCCAAUGGUUAUGAUAAACUGGCAAUUGUCUGGAUGAGUGAGAAGAUUGUAAUUCAAGGAGCUCUGCUGCAAAAUAUUUUUUUAAGCUCACAGGGACUCGUUAAUACCCCCCAUUACCUCGCUGGUUCCAAUAUAAAGUGCCAGAUUUACUGCUGCUGAACAAUCCGGAGUGAUUUACUGCUCUGCUCUUCAUCAGCAAGAAGGAAGAAUCAACCCAUCCCAUUAGGCAGGCAAAUGAGGAGGCUGUUAAACUGCACAGAACGGAUAUUUAUAUUUCCCUGUUUUUCAUGCAGCUAGGCUACAUCAUGUGAAGGUGAACAAUGAGUGUCAAUAAAAUGGCAUUCUGGCAGUAAUGAAAAGGAUCUCUAAGUUGGAUGGUCAAUAAGUGCAUUGGAAUCAUGACACUAACUGAGAAAGAUGCUUCCAUCUGUGCCAAUGCCUUUUUUUCUCUUUAGAGCAAUAAACUGACUCUAGUUGUUUUGUUUUGGACUGUGCAAUUUUGCCUUGGGCUGUGGUCUCCUCUGUUGUGCGUAAUUUGCAAAAUGAAUGAGCAUCUUCAUUUCACUAUUGGAAAGUUAUCAGCCUCGUUGAAAACAAAUUAAUUCACAGAACAAGCUAGCCCCAGUAACUUGUUUGAAUGCUGGGGAAUUAUAUGGGCAAAAAGAAGGGAGGAAUACAGCAGAAGUGGAGAUGCUCUUGGCUUCCACUCCAGCCUAUUGUGGGAGGUGACCCAGGCACCCUCCCCACCUACAUAGAGAUGAAGGAAUUCAGGAACUGUAUAACAGAUUCUCUAGUAUUCUUUAGCCUUGACACUCUCCAGCCUAGUCCCUUUUCCUGCCUCCAAAUCAUCCAUGUGUAACAAUGCUCAGGGACUUUCUGCAGAGCUAUAUUCCCUGCUGCAAGUUGGUGCACUGCCUCUCAGAUCCUGUCGCAUGCCCAUUGUACGCUGAUUCCACUGCAAGAGGGCCCUUUGUGUCCAUAGAGGAGAGAUCAAGAUUUGCCCAGUAGAGAUGAUGGUGUUGAUGGUAUGGUUCAUUUUAUAUAUAAAACUAAGAUUUAAACACACAGAAAAGAAAAUAGCAUUACACAAAAGAAAAUAGCAUUAAAACUGAGCAGUAAUUAUAUGUGUAGUUUUUGGAAAACUUAAAAAAAUGAUUUAGCUAUGGCACUAACUGAAAUAUCAGUUAUAAGUCCCUGUGUCUAGGGCAAUAAUCCUUCUUCCUCAUCUCACUGGAUAGCGUACGUGU
rnacentral:lncRNA from 1 species